rnacentral:rRNA from 1 species
AUUGAACGCUGGCGGCGUGCCUAACACAUGCAAGUCGCACGAGUGGCGCACGGGUGAGUAACGUCUCGGAACCUUCCCCAUGGUGGGGGAUAACUACUGGAAACGGCAGCUAAUACCGCAUACCCUCCGAGCUGCCCCCAUGUGAUUAGCUGGUGGGUGGGGUAAAGGCUCACCAAGGCGCCGAUCACUAGCGGGUCUGAGAGGAUGAUCAGCCACACUGGAACUGAGACACGGUCCAGACUCCUACGGGAGGCAGCAGUGGGGAAUAUUGGACAAUGGGCGCAAGCCUGAUGCAGCCAUGCCGCGUGUAUGAAGAAGGCCUUCGGGUUGUAAAGGACUUGCGGCAAGGAGGCGGUACCCGCAGAAGAAGCACCGGCUAACUCCGUGCCAGCAGCCGCGGUAAUUC